UCGUUCCCCUCGGAGGAAGCCCUGCUCCUCUCAGGGGAGUCUGGCGGGACACACGGUGGUCUCUCUUGUGGUUGAGGAGGGCCGUCCUGAGUAUAGGGCUAGCUCUUAAAGGCGCGAGAGGGCAAU